GCGGGGGUCGCCUAGCCUGGCCAAGGGCGCUGGGUUGAGGUCCCAGUGGCUUAGUGCCUUCGUGGGUUCAAAUCCCACCCCCCGCA
rnacentral:tRNA from 1 species